GAUGAACGCUGACAGAAUGCUUAACACAUGCAAGUCAACUGUGGCGGACGGGUGAGUAACGCGUAAAGAACUUGCCUCACAGAUAGGGACAACAUUUGGAAACGAAUGCUAAUACCUGAUACUGUGAGAGAGCUUUGCGUCCCAUUAGCUAGUUGGAGAGGUAACGGCUCACCAAGGCGAUGAUGGGUAGCCGGCCUGCGAGGGUGAUCGGCCACAAGGGGACUGAGGCAAGGCCCUUACGCCGACGGGAGGCAUCAGGGGGGAAUUGUUGACAAUGGGCCAAAGUCUGAACCAGCAAUUCGGUGUGCAAGAUGAAGUUUUCGGAAUGUAAAGUGCUUUCAGUUGGGAAGCGGUACCAACAGAAGAAGUAACGGCUAAAUACGUGCCAGCAGCCGCGGUAAUAG
rnacentral:rRNA from 1 species